AGAGCUUGCUUUCCUGAGAGUGGCGCACGGGUGCGUAACACGUAUGUAACCUACCUUUAUCAGGGGGAUAGCCUCUCGAAAGAGAGAUUAAGCCCGCAUAAUAUGAAGACACAGCAUUGUGAUUUCAUCAAAUAUUUAUAGGAUAGAGAUGGGCAUGCGGAACAUUAGCUAGUUGGUAAGGUAAUGGCUUACCAAGGCUACGAUGUUUAGGGGAUCUGAGAGGAUGACCCCCCACACUGGUACUGAGACACGGACCAGACUCCUACGGGAGGCAGCAGUAAGGAAUAUUGGUCAAUGGGCGGAAGCCUGAACCAGCCAUGCCGCGUGCAGGAAGACGGCCCUACGGGUUGUAAACUGCUUUUGUACCGGAAUAAACCCUGAUUCGUGAAUCAGGCUGAAUGUACGGUAAGAAUAAGGAUCGGCUAACUCCGUGCCAGCAGCCGCGGUAAUACGGAGGAUCCAAGCGUUAUCCGGAUUUAUUGGGUUUAAAGGGUGCGUAGGCGGCCUGUUAAGUCAGGGGUGAAAGACGGUAGCUCAACUAUCGCAGUGCCCUUGAUACUGAUGGGCUUGAAUGUACUAGAGGUAGGCGGAAUGU
rnacentral:rRNA from 1 species